AAACAUGUCUCNUGUAGUGUGUAGAUANGAGUCGAACCUGCCCGGUGAUAUUUUUAACGGCCGCGGUACCCUGACCGUGCGAAGGUAGCGUAAUUAUUUGCCUUAUAAUUGGAGGCUUGUAUGAAUGGUUUGACUUGAGUGAAUCUGUCUCUUUAUAGUUUUUUAGAAUUUUAUUUUUAGGUGAAGAAGCCUAGAUUAAAUUAAUAGACAAGAAGACCCUAUCGAGCUUUAAAUAAAUUAAUGGAUAAUAUUAAUAUUUAUAUAUGUGCAUUUAUAUGUCUAACGACAUAGUGUUGCAAUGUUGGUUUUAGUUUAUAGUAUAAACAGUUAUAUGUAUUAUAAAAAAUAUUGACUAUUGAGAUUUUUUGGUUGGGGCGACUAGGGAACAGAUAAAGCUUCCUUAAUUUGUGAUACUUACGUGUGUUGAUCCAGAAUUUUUGAUUUAAGGAAUUAGUUACCGUAGGGAUAACAGCAUAAUCUUUUUUGAGAGUUCAUAUCGAAAAGGGGGUUUGUGACCUCGAUGUUGGACCAGAAUGUCCUGAAGAUGCAGAAGUCUUCAAGGGUUGGUCUGUUCGACCAUUAAAAUUCUACGUGAUCUGAGUUAAGACCGGCGUGAGCCAGGUCGGUUUCUAUCUUUAAUUUUUUUUGUAGGUUUAGUACGAAAGGACCGACUUAUAGUAUUAAAUGCUGUAACUGAAAAAAUAUAAUUUUUGGGUUAUCAAAUUAGCAGAAUUCUUAAUGCAACUGAUUUAGGAUCAGUAGGUAUAGGUGAAAUCCUUUACUUUGAUAUAUACAGAUGGCAGAUGUCAGNNCAUUANGUUU
rnacentral:rRNA from 1 species